rnacentral:lncRNA from 1 species
AUUUAAUAUACCAAGAGAAGAAGGAGGAAGCUCAGGAAGACCUGAGGAGUAGAUACAGAUGUUGAAAGGAACCAGAACACUGAAGUCAGGAAAGCAGAUGGAGAAAGGGGAUUGAAGUAGCUGGUGCUUCAGAGAACACCCACAGUAUGUCUCCACAGUAACUUCCCUGGAGUGAUUGAUUUCUCCCCUAUCUUGGAAUCAAUGUUCCAGACUGAAUUAUGCUAAAAUAUGGGAUUUACCUUCAAGCAAAGUGAGUCACUGGUCCGGACAAGAACCAACUCUGCACUGCUUUUCAGACCGCAUUCUUCUCGACUGCAGGGACAAGUGGUUUCUAUUAUACUUCUGGCCUUUCAUACUCCCGAUGGUGCGGCUGAUGAAAUCCAGCAGCCAGGUGCAUGGAUGUGGUUGAAAAGACCCUCGCAGGACCUGAGCUGCCUCCCCACAGAGUGGGCUGUCUCCCUCCUGAGGUGGCCACUGCCAGUGGGACUGAUACCUGACUUAUUUCCCUGACUGAGAGGAUGGGUCAUAUGACCAAUUCAUACAUUUUUGUCCUGGUCUCUUUUUAACUAAUCACACAGUUUUCUGAUCUCUGGCCAAGGGCCAUGACCAAGGACAGAGUUUCCCUGUGUAGAUUUUUCUGCCACAGACAUUUGAAUUGGACUGUCGGAGUAGACUAAGUAUGGUAGCCAUUUUUCCCAUUAAGAUGGAAUUACCAAAACAUAAGCUUCAGGAAACACGUGGGAUGCUCUCAAGUCUGGUAACAUAUUCCCUGUCCUGUACCAGACAAGAAGCCCUGCAUCCCAUUUGCUCCUAACAGCCCCUUUCUUGGUUAUUCUGUUGAAUUUCCAGUUAGCCAGGUCUGAAAAACAGCCUCAAGAAGUUGAAGACAGUAGCAAUCCUUACAGAAACUUGUAAGUCCAAGGUAGAGGUAGAUGACUCAGAGGCAUUUUAUUUCACUUUAAGAAAAACCCAAGCUAGCAAAUAAUAAUGAUGAGAAUUUACUCCUAGGUAAAAAAAAAUAACUUGCAAUUUCAAAGUACUAUGUAGUAUAUCCCAGAUAUAAACCACCUCCAAUUCCCUUGUUUCAGUCAUUUUGGUGACAAUAUAGUUCUAUGUGAGCCUGUUUAGAAAACAAAAUAUAUAUUUGGUAAAUGAAAAGAUGGUUGGAAUUUUAGGAGCAGUGGUAUUCAUUCACAUAGAACACAGAGAGUGCAGAAAAUUAAACUUGUCACAUACCAUGAUCACAGUCAAAACUAGAAAGAUGAUAUCAGAAGGUCUUUUCAGCUCCCAGUUGUGUCCAAAAGUGACUGUUAAUUUUAGAUUAGUUCCCCUUAUUUCUAGUUUUAGAUUCUCCCCUCCCUCUUUGUUAGGCCCAGGAGAAGGUUUUCAAUAGGAGACAGUUAUGGACAGUGUUGUGAAAGUGAGUGUUCCAAAAAGGGAUUUGGGGGAAAGAGGGUUCCCAGAACACACAAAAGCUAUUACAGCAUGACAGCUAGCUGACCUACCACUAAGAUCUGCCAAAAGUUAUUUGUGUCAUGGAGAUCCUGGUCAGAAAUCUGGACUGGACUUGCCCAGUUCUUGCCUUAGCUGGGCCAUUGCCAAAAGCUUUAUUGUUUGGACCAUGCACACUCAUUCUCUUAGUCAGAUUUGUUUCUUCCUGUUUGACAGCUUUGAAGCUAAAAAUGGUGGUGCAGUCAGACCCAUUGAUAGAUGUUCCUCUUGGUUCCUACUCAGGGCUCUUAGAUAGACCCCAUGGUGGAGGACCUUGAUUGUAGCCCUGCCAUGGCCCCUCUCAGCUAGAAGCAGCCAAAUUGACUGAUGGCCCCUUAUCCCUACGGUAGUUAAGGACACCGCUGUUGAAGGGGAUCGAGACAAGGAGAUGAACAAACAUUAGCCAGCUAGGAUAGGGACCUGAGUAACCUAACAACAAAGUGCAUAUAUACCCUUGAACUUGGGUGCUCCUUGGUAUCCUCCCCUGGAGGCCCUCUCGGUUAAUGUGAGUUCUUCUUUGGUCUUUAAUAAAAUAUACAUGGUUCAUUCCCCACUGCUCUGUCUGUUGACUUCAUACUCAGGACAACAGCCCAGAGG